rnacentral:rRNA from 1 species
UGUGAGUUUGAAUCUGGCUCAGAUUGAACGCUGGCGGCAGGCUUAACACAUGCAAGUCGAGCGGUAGCACAGGGGAGCUUGCUCCCUGGGUGACGAGCGGCGGACGGGUGAGUAAUGUCUGGGAAACUGCCUGAUGGAGGGGGAUAACUACUGGAAACGGUAGCUAAUACCGCAUAACGUCGCAAGACCAAAGAGGGGGACCUUCGGGCCUCUUGCCAUCAGAUGUGCCCAGAUGGGAUUAGCUAGUAGGUGGGGUAAUGGCUCACCUAGGCGACGAUCCCUAGCUGGUCUGAGAGGAUGACCAGCCACACUGGAACUGAGACACGGUCCAGACUCCUAGGGAGGGCAGCAAG